rnacentral:rRNA from 1 species
AACGUACGCUGGCGGCACGCCUAACACAUGCAAGUCGAACGCAGUAGCAAUACUGAGUGGCAGACGGGUGAGUAACAUGUGGGAAUCUGCCUUGUGGUUCAGGACAACAUUGGGAAACCGAUGCUAAUACUGGAUAAGCCCUUACGGGGAAAGUUUUAAUGCCAUAAGAUGAGCCCGCAUUUGAUUAGUUAGUUGGUGAGGUAAUGGCUCACCAAGACAAUGAUCAAUAGCUGAUCUGAGAGGAUGAUCAGCCACACUGGGACUGAGACACGGCCCAGAAUCCUACGGGAGGCAGCAGUGGGGAAUCUUGCACAAUGGAGGAAACUUUGAUGCGGCGAUGCCGCGUGAGUGAAGAAGGCCUUUGGGUUGUAAAGCUCUUUUGUAGGGGAAGAUAAUGACUGUACCCUAAGAAUAAGGUCCGGCUAACUUCGUGCCAGCCGCCGCGGUAA